AUGACUACGGUUACAUCUCGGGCUUC
rnacentral:piRNA from 1 species